GACGAACGCUGGCGGCGUGCUUAACACAUGCAAGUCGAACGAAAAGAGGGAAAGAGCUUGCUCUUUCCGGAAUUGAGUGGCAAACGGGUGAGUAACACGUAAACAACCUGCCUUCAGGAUGGGGACAACAGACGGAAACGACUGCUAAUACCGAAUAAGUUCCAAGAGCCGCAUGGCCCAUGGAAGAAAAGGUGGCCUCUACCUGUAAGCUAUCGCCUGAAGAGGGGUUUGCGUCUGAUUAGCUGGUUGGAGGGGUAACGGCCCACCAAGGCGACGAUCAGAAGCCGGUCUGAGAGGAUGGACGGCCACACUGGAACUGAGACACGGGCCAGACUCCUACGGGAGGCAGCAGUGGGGAAUCUUCCGCAAUAGGCGAAAGCCUGACGGAGCAACGCCGCGUGAGUGAUGACGGCCUUCGGGUUGUAAAACUCUGUGUUCCGGGACGAAAAGGCAGAGUGCGAAGAACAAACUGCAUUGACGGUACCGGAAAAGCAAGCCACGGCUAACUACGUG
rnacentral:rRNA from 1 species